GUGGCCUAAUAAAACACGUAUUUGUAUCUCUUUGGAGCUAUCUAGUGUGCAAUCUCAUUUCUAUUAUAAUCUUUCCUGUAACUCAGGCUUCUUCCCCAAACUCCGGCCCUCCCGAUGUUGCUAAACUACAACUCCCAUGAUUCUAUGAAUGAAAUAGAUAGGCUGAGAAUCAUGGGAGUUGUAGUUCGGCCCUCCAGAUGUUGCUGGAGUUUGGUGAAGCCUACUGCAACUAUUCAUACUAUUCUGGAAAACUGCUCCAGAAUGGAUUCUAGUGUAGCAUAAAAACAAAACGCUAUUCACUGCUCUGAGAUGCGCAAC